rnacentral:rRNA from 1 species
AGUGAACGCUGGCGGUAGGCCUAACACAUGCAAGUCGAACGGCAGCACAGUAAGAGCUUGCUCUUACGGGUGGCGAGUGGCGGACGGGUGAGGAAUACAUCGGAAUCUACUUUUUCGUGGGGGAUAACGUAGGGAAACUUACGCUAAUACCGCAUACGACCUACGGGUGAAAGCAGGGGAUCUUCGGACCUUGCGCGAUUGAAUGAGCCGAUGUCGGAUUAGCUAGUUGGCGGGGUAAAGGCCCACCAAGGCGACGAUCCGUAGCUGGUCUGAGAGGAUGAUCAGCCACACUGGAACUGAGACACGGUCCAGACUCCUACGGGAGGCAGCAGUGGGGAAUAUUGGACAAUGGGCGCAAGCCUGAUCCAGCCAUACCGCGUGGGUGAAGAAGGCCUUCGGGUUGUAAAGCCCUUCUGUUGGGAAAGAAAAGCAGCAGGUUAAUACCCCGCUGUUCUGACGGUACCCAAAGAAUAAGCACCGGCUAACUUCGUGC